rnacentral:rRNA from 1 species
UAAUACAUGCAAGUAGAACGCUGAAGACUUAGCUUGCUAAAGUUGGAAGAGUUGCGAACGGGUGAGUAACGCGUAGGUAACCUGCCUACUAGCGGGGGAUAACUAUUGGAAACGAUAGCUAAUACCGCAUAACAGCAUUUAACCCAUGUUAGAUGCUUGAAAGGAGCAAUUGCUUCACUAGUAGAUGGACCUGCGUUGUAUUAGCUAGUUGGUGAGGUAACGGCUCACCAAGGCGACGAUACAUAGCCGACCUGAGAGGGUGAUCGGCCACACUGGGACUGAGACACGGCCCAGACUCCUACGGGAGGCAGCAGUAGGGAAUCUUCGGCAAUGGGGGCAACCCUGACCGAGCAACGCCGCGUGAGUGAAGAAGGUUUUCGGAUCGUAAAGCUCUGUUGUAAGAGAAGAACGUGUGUGAGAGUGGAAAGUUCACACAGUGACGGUAACUUACCAGAAAGGGACGGCUAACUACGUGCCAGCAGCCGCGGUAAUACGUAGGUCCCGAGCGUUGUCCGGAUUUAUUGGGCGUAAAGCGAGCGCAGGCGGUUUAAUAAGUCUGAAGUUAAAGGCAGUGGCUUAACCAUUGUUCGCUUUGGAAACUGUU